UCUCCGUUGGUGAACCAGCGGAGGGAUCAUUACAGAGUUUAUUAUAACUCCUAAACCCAUGUGAACCUACCUUCUGUUGCCUCGGCAGGCAAGUCGUAUCUUGCUACCCUAUAGGACCCUAUCUUGUAAGACGUUACCUUAUAAGGUCCUAUCCGGUAGAGAGAUGCGGUACUACCUGCCGGUGGACUGAAAAAAAAAUUCUGUUUAAUAAAUGGUAUUCUGAAUCAUUAUAUGGAAAUUAAGUUAAAACUUUCAACAACGGAUCUCUUGGUUCUG
rnacentral:misc_RNA from 1 species